rnacentral:tRNA from 1 species
AAGCAAGAAGUGAAAAAUCACAGUCAGUUUCGACCUGAUCAAUUGGUAAAAUUACCCUUACUUUAUUA